rfam:Triticum aestivum genome assembly, contig: Triticum_aestivum_CS42_TGACv1_scaffold_158900_2DL
UUUGUACCCCCUCCGUCCGGAAAUAUUUGUCGAAGAAAUGCAUAAAAAUGAAUGUAUCUAGAACUAAAAUAUGUCUAGAUACAUCCACCACUCCGACGAGUAUUUCCGGACGGAGGGAGUACUGG